rnacentral:rRNA from 1 species
GACGAAGGUGGCAAGCGUUGUUCGGAAUCGCUGGGCAUAAAGAGCACGUAGGCGGCUAAGUCAGUCGGAUGUGAAAUACCUCGGCUCAACCGAGGAACUGCGUCCGAUACUGCUUGGCUUGAGGUCCGGAGGGGAGAGUGGAAUUCCCGGUGGAGCGGUGAAAUGCGUAGAGAUCGGGAAGAACGCCGGCGGCGAAAGCGACUCUCUGGUCGGAAUCUGACGCUGAGGUGCGAAAGCUAGGGGAGCAAACAGG